ACAGGAUUAGAUACCCUGGUAGUCCACGCCGUAAACGAUGUCGACUUGGAGGCUGUUCCCCUGAGGAGUGGCUUCCGGAGCUAACGCGUUAAGUCGACCGCCUGGGGAGUACGGCCGCAAGGUUAAAACUCAAAUGAAUUGACGGGGGCCCGCACAAGCGGUGGAGCAUGUGGUUUAAUUCGAUGCAACGCGAAGAACCUUACCUACUCUUGACAUCCAGAGAACUUUCCAGAGAUGGAUUGGUGCCUUCGGGAACUCUGAGACAGGUGCUGCAUGGCUGUCGUCAGCUCGUGUUGUGAAAUGUUGGGUUAAGUCCCGCAACGAGCGCAACCCUUAUCCUUUGUUGCCAGCGAUUCGGUCGGGAACUCAAAGGAGACUGCCGGUGAUAAACCGGAGGAAGGUGGGGAUGACGUCAAGUCAUCAUGGCCCUUACGAGUAGGGCUACACACGUGCUACAAUGGCGCAUACAAAGAGAAGCGACCUCGCGAGAGCAAGCGGACCUCAUAAAGUGCGUCGUAGUCCGGAUCGGAGUCUGCAACUCGACUCCGUGAAGUCGGAAUCGCUAGUAAUCGUGGAUCAGAAUGCCACGGUGAAUACGUUCCCGGGCCUUGUACACACCGCCCGUCACACCAUGGGAGUGGGUUGCAAAAGAAGUAGGUAGCUUAACCUUCGGGAGGGCGCUUACCACUUUGUGAUUCAUGACUGGGGUGAAGUCGUAACAAGGUAAC
rnacentral:rRNA from 1 species